GAGUUUGAUCGUGGCUCAGAUUGAACGCUGGCGGCAUGCCUUACACAUGCAAGUCGAACGGCAGCACGGGAGCUUGCUCCUGGUGGCGAGUGGCGAACGGGUGAGUAAUGCAUCGGAACGUAUCCUGGAGUGGGGGAUAACGUAGCGAAAGUUACGCUAAUACCGCAUAUUCUGUGAGCAGGAAAGCGGGGGACCUUCGGGCCUCGCGCUCUUGGAGCGGCCGAUGUCGGAUUAGCUAGUUGGUGAGGUAAAGGCUCACCAAGGCGACGAUCCGUAGCAGGUCUGAGAGGAUGAUCUGCCACACUGGAACUGAGACACGGUCCAGACUCCUACGGGAGGCAGCAGUGGGGAAUUUUGGACAAUGGGGGCAACCCUGAUCCAGCCAUGCCGCGUGAGUGAAGAAGGACC
rnacentral:rRNA from 1 species